rnacentral:rRNA from 1 species
CCGAAACGAAAACCGAAAAGGUAAGUUACGGACGGGACCCGCACAAGCGGUGAUGAUGUGUUUAUUCGAUGCAACGACGAAAACCUUACCCACCUUUGACAUGUACGGAAUCCUUUAGAGAUAGAGGAGUGCUCGAAAGAGAGCCGUAACACAGGUGCUGCAUGGCUGUCGUCAGCUCGUGUCGUGAGAUGUUGGGUUAAGUCCCGCAACGAGCGCAACCCUUGUCAUUAGUUGCUACGAAAGGGCACUCUAAUGAGACUGCCGGUGACAAACCGGAGGAAGGUGGGGAUGACGUCAAGUCCUCAUGGCCCUUAUAGGUGGGGCUACACACGUCACACAAUGGCUGGUACAAAGGGUUGCCAACCCGCGAGGGGGAGCCAAUCCCAUAAAGCCAGUCGUAGUCCGGAUCGCAGUCUGCAACUCGACUGCGUGAAGUCGGAAUCGCUAGUAAUCGUGGAUCAGCAUGUCACGGUGAAUACGUUCCCGGGUCUU